rnacentral:snoRNA from 1 species
ACCCUCCUUACUCCUCAGAUCUAGACAUUGGUUUGAGUGGUUGUAAAAGGAGGAAAAGGAAAACUGAAGUGAACUUGGACACUUUGAACAUUCAAGUUUGUUUCAAACAUGA